GACGAACCGUGCGAACGUUGUUCGGAAUCACUGGGCGUAAAGGGCGCGUAGGCGGCCUUCUAAGUCAUGCGUGAAAUCCCCGGGCUCAACCCGGGAACUGCGUCUGAUACUGGAAGGCUUGAAUCCGGGAGAGGGAUGCGGAAUUCCAGGUGUAGCGGUGAAAUGCGUAGAUAUCUGGAGGAACACCGGUGGCGAAGGCGGCAUCCUGGACCGGUAUUGACGCUGAGGCGCGAAAGCCAGGGGAGCAAACGGG
rnacentral:rRNA from 1 species